UACGAAGGGGGCUAGCGUUGUUCGGAAUUACUGGGCGUAAAGGGCUCGUAGGCGGCCAACUAAGUCAGACGUGAAAUCCCUCAGCUUAACUGGGGAACUGCGUCUGAUACUGGAUGGCUUGGAUUCGGGAGAGGAAUGCGGGAUUCCAGGUGUAGCGGUGAAAUGCGUAGAUAUCUGGAGGAACACCGGUGGCGAAGGCGGCAUUCUGGACCGAUAUUGACGCUGAGGAGCGAAAGCCAGGGGAGCAAACGGG
rnacentral:rRNA from 1 species